rnacentral:rRNA from 1 species
CCUACGGGAGGCUGCAGUGAGGAAUAUUGGUCAAUGGACGAGAGUCUGAACCAGCCAAGUAGCGUGAAGGAUGACUGCCCUAUGGGUUGUAAACUUCUUUUAUAUGGGAAUAAAACGUUCCACGUGUGGGAUUUUGUAUGUACCAUAUGAAUAAGGAUCGGCUAACUCCGUGCCAGCAGCCGCGGUAAUACGGAGGAUCCGAUCGUUAUCCGGAUUUAUUGGGUUUAAAGGGAGCGUAGGUGGAUUGUUAAGUCAGUUGUGAAAGUUUGCGGCUCAACCGUAAAAUUGCAGUUGAAACUGGCAGUCUUGAGUACAGUAGAGGUGGGCGGAAUUCGUGGUGUAGCGGUGAAAUGCUUAGAUAUCACGAAGAACUCCGAUUGCGAAGGCAGUUCACUGGACUGCAACUGACACUGAGGCUCGAAAGUGUGGGUAUCAAACAGGAUUAGAUACCCCUGUAGUC